AAAAUUGUAACAUUUGAAGGUUCAAAUAUUGACAAAAUUGCAUGGCCUAUAACUAGGUUGAGGCAACCUCUAGGAUGUUAUAGGGUAUGGGUUCAAAUUCAAAGUAUGUCUCCUUUCUCUCUCUAUUGAUUAAUAUGAUUUCUGACGUUAGGUAAAGAGACACACAACCUUUGGGUUUGUUUGUCAUUGUCAAUCGAUCAUGGAUGAAGAUGUUCGACAUGCAUUCAUGGUAUUGUUUUCUUUGUGGGAGCGUGAUGUCCUUGCAUUUCCAUUUCAGUGUAGUUAGUUACUGAUCAUGCCUGCAAACACAAGUUAUCCCUACGUGAAACAACCACAUCAGGAAAUUAAAACUAGACUAUAUAGAUAUUAGAGGGGUCAGCAUGACCUAGCGAGACUAAAAUGGUCAAAUCGGUCGCUAACUCAUUUAAAGAACGAUUAAAGAUCAAUGUAGCGAGAUUGAUCGGGUCGUAAUUUUCAAUAUAUAUAUCAGGUGAUCUAUCUAUCAUUCAAUAGUUUAUCUUUUUUACGAUUAUGCAUUUGAUUUUUUAGAAAUAAAAUUAUUUAAUUUUUUUUGGGCGGGCAAACACUUAAUAUUGAGAGGAUUAAAAAUAAAUUAGCUCAAUUUGUAUAAAGCAAACAGAAGAGGUUUUGGGGGCAGCUUCCACUCAAUAUGGUAUAUGCAUACGUCCUUGAGGACAUGUAUUAUCAAAAACAGAUUUGUGUAUAUAUUCUGCUGGAGACACUAAACAUCACUUAAUAAAUUGACUGACCUUUAGUCUUGGGCGGCACUUAUAAGGGACGGAGAAUACACUUACUGCAACUGAUGUGGGUCUGUAGGGGUGGAUAGGUCAUUGUUUCGUUAGUUACUCAAUCCGGUCUUAUUUAUAAAAGAUAUUUAUGUCAAUAAAAAUCAAUUUAUCUGAUCCAAAUUUUGAACCGAAUACAUUUAUUUUUGUUGACUUAAAUGUGUCUUACAAAAAUGCUUAAAAGGCAUCUCAAAUUGCUCAACCAAUCAGGUCGUAACUCGAUAGAUUUAUUAUCUUUUUUGUGUAUAAAGUUUGAUCAACUUUUUUGUGUUAGAAAGAUAGUAAAUUAUUUGAAUGAAUCAAAUCACUUAAAACUACACUGAAAUGGGUCUCAAUUUAUUGAGCAACAUUACACCUAGCUAAUUAGUUUGACAACUGUUUCAUGAGUGGGUUUCAAACUACGAAACAAAAUGGCAACAACCAUAUUUGGUCGAGGAUUGUUUUUUUACUAUAUAUAGUUAUCUUCAAUGUUUUAAUUUCCUAAACACAAAUAAUACACGACAUUUUAAUUACAUUAAUCAUGUAACAUUCAUUUAAAUGACUAAUGAGUAGUUGGUUGGUCACAAUCACAUGGAUAAGGAUUGGAGUUGUGGUUCCCGGUACACACGUGAGGAAGGGACAUAGAUCAUAGACAAGGCACAUCUCAUUCUUAUUGCACGGUAUGGGUUGAGGAGGAGUGAAGUGAAGUGAACAUCGGUUUGUAAAAUAUCUUGUCUGGUUAAUUUGUGGUAAAUGAGGUAGGGAAAAAUUUUAACAUCACGGUUGGCUCACAUUAUGUUGCUGCUAUCACUUAAAUCCAAUAUGAUCCUAUUGCAGAGUGGGAGAGAGAUGAGACAUAAGAGUUUUAAAUAAUAUCACUCUUUUUAAUUUAGUUUUUAAACUAUAAAAGUUGUUUUUAACAUGAUUCUUUCAUACGCACUCCUAUUAAGUUAAAGGAGUUAGGAAGUGAUAUGAGUAGUUCUGGUAGCGGCCUGGUAGUCAAUGAGCACCUAUCCAGUAUCGAAUGAGUUCAAAUAGUUGAGUAGUUAAAGGCGGUGCCUUAAAAUUGAGGAAUUAAAUACAAAUGAAAAAAAAUAUCCUAAUGAAAUAUGAUAUCAAUCUUGAAGAAAGAAAAAAAAAGAGAUAUGGAAAAAUUGGUAAACACUAUGAACAUGAUUGGAUCGAGCCUUGGUAUGGAAACUUACCAAGUGAAAACUUUCAAAUUCAGAAAAAACUCUAUAAUUAAAAAUGGACAAUCCUGGGCCAAAUCAUUCUUACCAAAAACAAACAAAUACAAGUUUAUAAAGUGAAAAUAAAUAAAAACUUUAAUGUAUAUGAAAUUUGUCAAUUUAGUUUCAAUUUAUUCUCUUUCAUCUUAAUCAUACGGACUAAAUGAAUUUAUAUAAUUUAAAGACUACUUAUCAUAUUUACAUAGUUUAGAAACUAAAUUUGAUAGACGGUGAUAGUUUAGAGAAUAAAUUGAUAAUUUAUUCGAGUUUGGAUGACUGAGAAUACAAAAAAGAGUAAAGAAUAAGGAAGCAAGUAAUCAACACAUCGCAUGAGAUUUUAGUAUCAUGUCCUUUGGAAUGAUAUCACAAAGGGGCAAUAUCUAUGAAAAGAAUUUCAAAAAGAAGUCCAAACUAGAUUCAAAUCCAAGUUGACCCGGUGGUAUUUUCACUUUGUGGCAAUAGUUUAGUGUUAUGACUUCGACUGUAGUGGGAGCCAGUUUUUAGAAGUUAAUAGAUAUUAUGAAUAUUGCCGCAUGAUCAUGACCUAGCCAAUGUUCAAAGAGAGAAGAUUUAUACAUCACUCAUACUCUCUUCUAUGCCCUUGUUCAAAGAUUUUAUUAUUCGUUACAUCAAUUGUGUAAUAAGGUAAACAUGCUUAGAUGUAUUUCUAUAUUACCAUAUGCUAUAAUUUGUAUUUAUGAUUUUGGACAUCUCUGUUAAAAUUCCAACACAUCAUAGGGAAACAUAUCUCAUUAUCGAGAUUCAAAUCUUAACUUAUCAUAUUGUAAGAGUCUAACAUUUUCUGCCGGAACAAGGAAAGAUAACACAAAGAAAGAACUUUUUCAAAAAACACAAAUAAAUAGCAUGGGAGGUCCGUAUAAUUUAUUGUAGUCUCGUAGAGCAUGUUGCAUGAGUUUCCAAGUUGGAAUCAGACAAAUGACCUACCCUAUAUUGUCUAUAAUGGAGGGCAACUUUAUCAACAAUGAAGGAUGUUCUUUUAUAUGCCAUCUAGAUUGUUCAAUCUCUAAAAUAGACUGAUCGAAAGAUAGUUUUUGAUGGAAAAAAAAUCGAUUGAAACAUAUAUCUCAAUAUAUUUUUGCUUUAAGAAGUUACGAUCCGAAAGGGACUGAGGAAUGACAUCAUUUGCAGGACGCGUUGAAAGAGGUGCAUGAUGGGAAAGUUUACCGUCGUCGGAGAGCUACUGAUGGUGGCAGUGGUGGCAGAG
rnacentral:lncRNA from 1 species